rnacentral:lncRNA from 1 species
CUUCUUGCUGCCUAGGAAUUUGAUGCCUAAACUGAAUAUUCACUAUAGCAAAAUUCUACUCCAGGAACCUACAAUUGUCCCUGGGGCCAUGCAACCAGUUUUGAGCAACUGAAGUCUACGGGCUUAAAGAGAAGACAUCACGGUUAUGGGAGAAAAGUAAUCUGAAUCUCUACUUUGUAUUGCCAG